rnacentral:rRNA from 1 species
CUACGGGUUGCUCCAGUGGGGAAUAUUGCACAAUGGACGAAAGUCUGAUGCAGCAACGCCGCGUGGAGGAUGACACAUUUCGGUGCGUAAACUCCUUUUAUAUAGGAAGAUAAUGACGGUACUAUAUGAAUAAGCACCGGCUAACUCCGUGCCAGCAGCCGCGGUAAUACGGAGGGUGCAAGCGUUACUCGGAAUCACUGGGCGUAAAGAGCGUGUAGGCGGGUAGUUAAGUCAGAAGUGAAAUCCAAUAGCUCAACUAUUGAACUGCUUUUGAAACUGAUUACCUAGAAUAUGGGAGAGGUAGAUGGAAUUUCUGGUGUAGGGGUAAAAUCCGUAGAGAUCAGAAGGAAUACCGAUUGCGAAGGCGAUCUACUGGAACAUUAUUGACGCUGAGACGCGAAAGCGUGGGGAGCAAACAGGAUUAGAUACCCCCGUAGUC